rnacentral:miRNA from 1 species
CAGGGUCAAGGGUCAAAGGUCAG